GGGUCAGUAGGUUGGUCGUGCCACCGGUACGUACUGGUCUCACUAAUUCCUCCUUCCUGAAGAACCGUAAUGCCAUUAAUUUGGUGUUGCGGGGAAACAGGACUGUUACUUUGAAAAAAUUAGAGUGUUUAAAGCAAGCUAACGCUUGAAUACAUUAGCAUGGAAUAAUGAAAUAGGACGAUCGAUCCUAUUUUGUUGGUUUCUAGGAUUGACGUAAUGAUUAAUAGGGAUAUUGGG
rnacentral:rRNA from 1 species